rnacentral:rRNA from 1 species
AUUGAACGCUGGCGGCAUGCCUUACACAUGCAAGUCGAACGGCAGCAUGAUCUAGCUUGCUAGAUUGAUGGCGAGUGGCGAACGGGUGAGUAAUACAUCGGAACGUGCCCUGUAGUGGGGGAUAACUAGUCGAAAGAUUAGCUAAUACCGCAUACGACCUGAGGGUGAAAGUGGGGGACCGCAAGGCCUCAUGCUAUAGGAGCGGCCGAUGUCUGAUUAGCUAGUUGGUGAGGUAAAGGCUCACCAAGGCGACGAUCAGUAGCUGGUCUGAGAGGACGAUCAGCCACACUGGGACUGAGACACGGCCCAGACUCCUACGGGAGGCAGCAGUGGGGAAUUUUGGACAAUGGGCGAAAGCCUGAUCCAGCAAUGCCGCGUGUGUGAAGAAGGCCUUCGGGUUGUAAAGCACUUUUGCCCGGAAAGAAAUGGCUCUGGUUAAUACCUGGGGUCGAUGACGGUACCGGAAGAAUAAGGACCGGCUAACUACGUG